rnacentral:snRNA from 1 species
UGGUUCAGUUACCAAUACUA